GCCUAGUUAGCUUAGUUGAAAGUGCGUCUGCCUUGUAAGCGCUAGGCCGCGGGUUCGAUUCCCGCCCGGGGCG
rnacentral:tRNA from 1 species